CUGUAGCUGUUAGGGUUUGCAUAGCUGUGGGCAGGCAGGCAUGGCCCGUGUCACUGCCAUCAUCCUUUGUGUGAUGGAGGAAAGUGUCUCUGUUUGCUGCUUGGCCUGGGCAAACCUGGUUUUAACAGCAAGGUACAAAUGAAGUGCUACAGGAAAUUACUGGAUUCUAAUUAAGAGAAGAGUCUGAGGAACUGGCUGCAGAGGCAACCCCUGUGAGCUGAGCAGGUUUCCUUCUUCUCCUGACUAAAAGAAGAGCAAAGCAGAGGAGACACGAUGUGGAGGAAUUCAGAAUGAUAAGAAAAAUCAAAAUUUUCUCUGCUUCAGCCUGAGAAGAAAAUAUGUUCUCAUUUACUGCACUCGUACGUACCUCCAUCACAUUUCAGCACCACAAACUGGAAAAGAAUGAAGUCAGUUGUCAGGACAUUGGAGCCAAAAAUAAGGAAAAAAUAGGAGUUAUGACUCAAAUAGUUGAAAAGUGGGUAGCAAUCUGAUAAAUUCUGGGGCAAAUCAAAGGAAAGCCAAUACAGAACUGAAGUUAGGAAGGGAUUAGGAAAAGAUUAUAAAAUUCAUGGUAAUCAAUGUAAAACUGCCUUGUGAACUAAUUGCAGUGUAAUUUGGGUAAGGUAGUGUCUGUUUGAUUGCUAAAGUUUUUGAUAUCAAUUUAAACAUACACCUAUUGAAAUUUCAUUAAGACAUGAUAUUGUUCCAUAUGAUGUUCUGAGUAAAAAAAACCCAAAACAUCCAUGCUCUAGCAAUAUAAGACAAUAACAAUAAAUAAAAGCAUCAAGGUAAUUGCAAUCUGGCUGAUAGUCAUGCUUUCUAAAGCAAUUGUAAAUGAAGAGGCAUUCACAAUUGAUGUUCCUGAGCAAUAUACCAAAGGGCUCAUUCUUUGAGGCUUGGAGUACUCAGUUGCUUGGGUUUUGACCUAGGAACACACGACUUAUUUCAUUAGACAAAGACAGUGAUGAUGAUGAUGCAACCAGAGAUGAAGUAAUAAAUGACAAUGUCAAGGACAGGCGAAUUCUUUAGCAUCUUCUGCAUUGUCUGCAAACCAAUCUGAUCCCCAAAAUUUGAAUCCUCAGCCAAAUUCAAGGUGCUGACAGACCAAAGAUGUGCUUUUAUAGCUGUGCUAUUUGUCUGGGAGAUUGUGUUUUGGAAACCAGUGACUCAUGCUUGUUUAUAAUGGACAGUCAGCUAAACACACACUCCCUGUGUGAUACAGUGUACCUGAAAGCAAAUGUUACUGUCUCUGAUCAGAGCAGAUUGCCGGGUAAAGGUCAAGGAGGUGAUAUUUCCAUGUGUACGCAUUAAUGAGACCAUUUCUGAAAUGUUUAUGGUUUUAAAAGGAUUUUGACAGAUGGGCAGAGAACAGAGACUGCAUGAGCUGCAUGAUCAUAGGCUGAACUGUGCUGUCUAAAGAGAGGCAAGAGAAUCUAAAUCAAUUUUUUUUGUCAGAGAUGAUAUUUUAUAUUUGUCCACUAACAACUGAAAGCAGGGAGAGAAUUCAUAAUGGCAGAUUAUCUCUGGACAUCACAAGGUGGUUAGGUGCUGGAAGUGGACAAACACAGCUUAGAAAAUGGGCAACUAAAAACGCCUUUUGCUUUCAGUGUCAGCAACUGACCACUUAACCCAGGAUGCAGGGUUUGCCUGUUACAUGAAGUAAGCAUUGAAUCCUUUUCUAAAAAAUACAAUUCUGGUAAACAAGAGCUUGUGGUAAAGGCACAAGAGCUUGUGGUAAAGGCACAAGUGAAAACACAGUGAGUGUGAUAUUCAAGCAGGCCAGGCUAAGUGAAUUCAUGGCUUUCAGAGGCUCUGGACAGGACUGAUUUCUCCCAUGUCCAGUAGUCUGUGUUCAGAUCACUUUGCCAUUCCUCUUGUGCGCUAAGCAGGCAGGAUAGACCCCUGUCUCCAUAGCUUAGGGCUUUCCCUUGGGGAAGGGUGCCUUGUGCUCAGAGUGUGACAAGACCCAGGGCAGCAAAGGGUCACUGGGGUGGUUCUGUGGUAGCAGUGUGGGGGCCCUAAUGGAGGAAGGUCUGGCCCUAUUGAUGCUUUAGACUAUUCUAGUGAUGAAAUUCCCUGGAGGGGAAAGCCAGACUUUGGCUCAGUAUCACAAAAGGUCAUUCAAAACACAAACAAGGAUGAAUUACAGAUCUAAUAAUAAUUUUCACCUCGUGGCUACCAAUUAUUUGGGUCUGCAGCCAGGAUGUUACUAUUGGGUUUGUCUCAUUUCUGAACACUGCAAGUACUGAGCAAAGGUGAAGGUUUUCACAGUUUUGGAGCUGUGGGCAGGCUUUUAAGAAGAAUGUGAAAGGACAAAGUUCUUAAUAAAAAGGAUGGGGUUUUUUUGCGUGCCCAUGAGGCACUGAAUUUUUGCAUCAGAAC